rnacentral:rRNA from 1 species
AGCGAACGCUGGCGGCAGGCUUAACACAUGCAAGUCGAGCGCCCCGCAAGGGGAGCGGCAGACGGGAGAGUAACACGUGGGAACGUACCCUUUGGUUCGGAACAACCCAGGGAAACUUGGGCUAAUACCGGAUAAGUCCGUAAGGAGAAAGAUUUAUCGCCAAUGGAUCGGCCCGCGUCUGAUUAGCUAGUUGGUGAGGUAAUGGCUCACCAAGGCGACGAUCAGUAGCUGGUCUGAGAGGAUGAUCAGCCUCACUGGGACUGAGACACGGCCCAGACUCCUACGGGAGGCAGCAGUGGGGAAUAUUGGACAAUGGGCGCAAGCCUGAUCCAGCCAUGCCGCGUGGGUGAUGAAGGCCCUAGGGUUGUAAAGCCCUUUCGGCGGGGAAGAUAAUGACGGUACCGCAGAAGAAGCCCCGGCUAACUUCGUGCCAGCCGCCGCAGU